rnacentral:rRNA from 1 species
AGAGUUUGAUCCUGGCUCAGGAUGAACGCUGGCGGCGUGCCUAAUACAUGCAAGUCGAGCGAACGGACGAGAAGCUUGCUUCUCUGAUGUUAGCGGCGGACGGGUGAGUAACACGUGGAUAACCCACCUAUAAGACUGGGAUAACUUCGGGAAACCGGAGCUAAUACCGGAUAAUAUUUUGAACCGCAUGGUUCAAAAGUGAAAGGCGGUCUUGCUGUCACUUAUAGAUGGAUCCGCGCUGCAUUAGCUAGUUGGUAAGGUAACGGCUUACCAAGGCAACGAUGCAUAGCCGACCUGAGAGGGUGAUAGGCCACACUGGAACUGAGACACGGUCCAGACUCCUACGGGAGGCAGCAGUAGGGAAUCUUCCGCAAUGGGAGAAAGCCUGACGGAGCAACGCCGCGUGAGUGAUGAAGGUCUUCGGAUCGUAAAACUCUGUUAUUAGGGAAGAACAUAUGUGUAAGUAACUGUGCACAUCUUGACGGUACCUAAUCAGAAAGCCACGGCUAACUACGUGCCAGCAGCCGCGGUAAUACGUAGGUGGCAAGCGUUAUCCGGAAUUAUUGGGCGUAAAGCGCGCGUAGGCGGUUUUUUAAGUCUGAUGUGAAAGCCCACGGCUCAACCGUGGAGGGUCAUUGGAAACUGGAAAACUUGAUUGCAGAAGAGGAAAGUGGAAUUCCAUGUGUAGCGGUGAAAUGCGCAGAGAUAUGGAGGAACACCAGUGGCGAAGGCGACUUUCUGGUCUGUAACUGACGCUGAUGUGCGAAAGCGUGGGGAUCAAACAGGAUUAGAUACCCUGGUAGUCC